rnacentral:lncRNA from 1 species
AUGUCACUGGAGCAUCCUGCGACUUCAAACUGGGCACGUCAUUCUCUCAGGUGAUAAAUUCCUGCUUUCAGCUAUGGAAAGACAACAUUACAAGUUUCGCAAGUAUUUACAAGCAUUACAGCUAUGAUUCUCUUAAUUUAAGUCCUGCUUCAGUCUCCUGGUCAAAUAACAGACCUGGUUCAUCAGUGUUCAAGUUGUUUUGUGUUUCAAAUCUCCAAAUCUUUGACCCUUACUCCAAGAAAGUUUAGAAUAAGUAUCAGAAAUGAGAGAGAAGCAAUAAAAAUGAGCAUUCCACUUUGAUCUAUUUCGAAUAUUUUGUGGUGCAAACAGAGAAUACUAGAGGAAGAAAUGGGUCUUCUUCAAAGCAGUAUUUUAAAUAGUGUAUGACAG